UGGCGAACGGGUGAGUAACACGUGGGUAACCUGCCCAUCGAGAAGGGGAUAACACUUGGAAACAGGUGCUAAUACCGUAUAACAAUCGAAACCGCGAUGGUUUCGGUUUGAAGGCGCUUUUGCGUCACUGAUGGAUGGACCCGCGGUGCAUUAACUAGUUGGUGAGGUAACGGCUCACCAAGGCAACGAUGCGUAGCCGACCUGAGAGGGUGAUCGGCCACAUUGGGACUGAGACACGGCCCAAACUCCUACGGGAGGCAGCAUG
rnacentral:rRNA from 1 species